rnacentral:rRNA from 1 species
UACGUAGGGUCCGAGCGUUGUCCGGAAUUAUUGGGCGUAAAGGGCUCGUAGGCGGUUUGUCGCGUCGGGAGUGAAAACACGGGGCUUAACCCCGUGCCUGCUUCCGAUACGGGCAGACUAGAGGUAUGCAGGGGAGAACGGAAUUCCUGGUGUAGCGGUGAAAUGCGCAGAUAUCAGGAGGAACACCGGUGGCGAAGGCGGCUCGCUGGGCCGGUCCUGACGCUGAGACGCAAAGGCGUGGGGAGCGAACGGG